CGAUGCUAUGGCCGAGCGGUUAGGCACAGGUCUGCAAAACUCGCUUCAUCGGUUCGAUUCCGAUUGGCUUGU
rnacentral:tRNA from 1 species